rnacentral:tRNA from 1 species
GCGGAAGUAGUUCAGUGGUAGAACACCACCUUGCCAAGGUGGGGGUCGCGGGUUCGAGUCCGUCUUCCGCUCCA